GCAGCUGCUCCUCUGUGGUCCAGCGGGAGUUGAUCUUGGGGACAGACUGCAGAGAGACAGACAAGGCGUGAGAGUGAGCAAGUCUGCGCAAGAGAGGCUGAGCCUCAGGCCGCUGUUGGUCUGCUUGAUGCUCUGGACCUGUUAGAAGACCAGGAGAAGUUCAGAGCUUCUCGGAAAAAGAAGAGUGGAGCCACUUGCACCAACAUUACCCGUCUCUUCAGCGACACCAACUGGCCGUCCAGCUGCUUGAGACACAGGACCCCCGCAUCUGAGGAGGCCGAGACGGCAUUGAUGUCCUCCUG